rnacentral:rRNA from 1 species
GACGAACGCUGGCGGCGUGCUUAACACAUGCAAGUCGAACGGAAAGGCCCUGCUUUUUUGGGGUGCUCGAGUGGCGAACGGGUGAGUAACACGUGAGUAACCUGCCCUUGACUUUGGGAUAACUUCAGGAAACUGGGGCUAAUACCGGAUAGGAUCUCCUGCUGCAUGGUGGGGGUUGGAAAGUUUCGGCGGUUGGGGAUGGACUCGCGGCUUUUCAGCUUGUUGGUGGGGUAGUGGCUUACCAAGGCUUUGACGGGUAGCCGGCCUGAGAGGGUGACCGGCCACAUUGGGACUGAGAUACGGCCCAGACUCCUACGGGAGGCAGCAGUGGGGAAUAUUGCACAAUGGGCGGAAGCCUGAUGCAGCAACGCCGCGUGCGGGAUGACGGCCUUCGGGUUGUAAACCGCUUUCGCCUGUGACGAAGCGUGAGUGACGGUAAUGGGUAAAGAAGCACCGGCUAACUACGUG